rnacentral:rRNA from 1 species
UACGUAGGGACCAAGCGUUGUUCGGAUUUACUGGGCGUAAAGGGCGCGUAGGCGGCGUGGUAAGUCACUUGUGAAAUCUCUGAGCUUAACUCAGAACGGCCAAGUGAUACUGCUGUGCUAGAGUGCAGAAGGGGCAAUCGGAAUUCUUGGUGUAGCGGUGAAAUGCGUAGAUAUCGAGAGGAACACCUGCGGCGAAGGCGGGUUGCUGGGCCGACACUGACGCUGAUGCGCGAAAGCCAGGGGAGCGAACGGG